rnacentral:RNase_P_RNA from 1 species
CAGGUUGGUCGGGCGAUCGCGGUGGCGCGUUGACGCCAUCGAGGAAAGUCCGCACUCCAUAGAGCACGGCGUCGGAUAGUCCCCGGGGCGGGGAAGCCUCCGUAAGGAGCGAACCUGCCGGAAAAGGGCCACAGAAACAAACAGCCACCCUCACCCCUGCGCCCCUCUCCCAAUGGGAGAGGGGAUGGGGUGAGGGGGUGAUGGUGAAAAGGUGGUGUAAGAGACCACCGGCGUUUGCAGUAAUGCAGAUCGUCAGGUAACCCCCGCCGGGAGCAAGGCCAAGCAGGGACGAAGCCAUCUGCGGAUGGCGGGAGACGGCUCGUCUUCAUAGGUAUCCAAUCACGCGGUGGUUGGGUCAGUCCCGGGUAGGCUGCACCGAGCGGCGCGGCGACGCGCCGCCCAGAGAGAUGAUCGCACAGUGGCGUUCGCGUCACGGACAGAAUGCGGCUUAUAGACCGACCUGAGGU